rnacentral:tRNA from 1 species
GCUGGCAUAGCUCAGUUGGUAGAGCAGCUGAUUUGUAAUCAGCAGGUCGUCGGUUCGAGUCCGAUCGCCAGCU